rnacentral:snRNA from 1 species
GUUCAUUGCAGACCUCUGUU